CCUACGGGAGGCAGCAGUGGGGAAUAUUGCACAAUGGGGGAAACCCUGAUGCAGCGACGCCGCGUGAGUGAAGAAGUAUUUCGGUAUGUAAAGCUCUAUCAGCAGGGAAGAAAAUGAUGGUACCUGACUAAGAAGCCCCGGCUAACUACGUGCCAGCAGCCGCGGGAAUACGUAGGGGGCAAGCGUUAUCCGGAUUUACUGGGUGUAAAGGGAGCGUAGACGGCCAGACAAGUCAGAAGUGAAAGCUCAGGGCUCAACCCCGGGACUGCUUUUGAAACGGCCGGGCUGGAGUGCAGGAGAGGUAAGCGGAAUUCCUAGUGUAGCGGUGAAAUGCGUAGAUAUUAGGAGGAACACCAGUGGCGAAGGCGGCUUACUGGACUGUAACUGACGUUGAGGCUCGAAAGCGUGGGGAGCAAACAGGAUUAGAUACCCGGGUAGUC
rnacentral:rRNA from 1 species